CAGCUCUCCCUUCUUCCUCUCUUUUCUCUCUUGCCCUUCUUCUCUUAAUCCUUGUUCAAACUAAUCCAAUCAUCCAAGGUGGGGGAAUACCUCUGUUUCAUCUCUCCCAAACUAAAUUGGGGUUUCUUUCAGACCUAAGGAUGAACAUGCAUGAGGUGAAUCAAUAAAAUCUGAUUUUGCUUUUGGCUGUAAAGUAAGGUAGCACAGGAAGGGCGAGUCCAUCACCACGGUCGCCUACUUGGAUUCGGCCGGAAUGGAAUCAUACCCUUGCCACGACAUUCAGUUCCUCGAUUUCGAGGGUUUCUCUAGUUUCCAGUAUUGCCCUCUUCAGAUUAUCAGUAGAAGAGAUUGUUUUUUAUAGCAAUCAUGAGUUCGAGCAGUGGAAUGAGAACCGACCUGUGCCAAGGUCUUGAUGUGUUCAGAAGCACCACUAUCAACAGGCGACGCAGGGCAUUGCAUAUAUAUAGGAGUGGUCUACUUGGUGAUGAUCACAGCUUCGCCC